AUAUGAAUUCCUUGGAAGCCUUUUUAAAAUGCAGAUUCUAAUUCAGUAGGGGCUUAAGAUUUGCAUUUCUAACAAGCUUCCAGAGUUACUGG
rnacentral:miRNA from 1 species